UGGGGGAUAUUGCACAAUGGGCGAAAGCCUGAUGCGGCGACGCCGCGUGGGGGAUGAAGGCCUUCGGGUUGUAAACUUCUUUUGCUCUGAACAAGGCAUGCUAAUGGGUGUGUUGAGUGUAGGGGUUGAUUAGCGCCGGCUAACUACGUGCCAGCAGCCGCGGUAAUACGUAGGGCGCGAGCGUUGUCCGGAAUUAUUGGGCGUAAAGGGCUUGUAGGUGGCUGGUUGCGUCUGUCGUGAAAGCUCAUGGCUUAACUGUGGGUUUGCGGUGGGUACGGGCUGGCUUGAGUGCAGUAGGGGAGGCUGGAAUUCCUGGUGUAGCGGUGGAAUGCGCAGAUAUCAGGAGGAAUACCGGUGGCGAAGGCGGGUCUCUGGGCUGUUACUGACACUGAGGAGCGAAAGCAUGGGGAGCGAACAGG
rnacentral:rRNA from 1 species